rnacentral:rRNA from 1 species
UACGUAGGGUGCGAGCGUUGUCCGGAAUUAUUGGGCGUAAAGAGCUCGUAGGCGGCUUGUCGCGUCGGAUGUGAAAUCCCUGGGCUCAACCUGGGAACUGCAUUUGAGACUGCAUGGCUAGAGUAUCGAAGAGGGAAGUGGAAUUUCCGGUGUAGCGGUGAAAUGCGUAGAUAUCGGAAGGAACACCAGUGGCGAAAGCGGGUCUCUGGGCCGUAACUGACGCUGAGGAGCGAAAGCGUGGGGAGCGAACAGG